GCCACCCAAAGCCCUAGAGGCUUAGAUCGAUCUAAUCUCGCGGAACUCCGCGAGGCCGCCGCCGAACGCCGCUCGCGUUCCCGGCGAUUCAGGGCACUAGAGGCGGAGCUGCUGCGCCAGGAGGAUCACCGAGACGAGGGGAGUUCAUCCACGGAGCUAGAAGGCCGAGUUGCUGACCACAGACGACACCCAUGGCACCAACGCCAACUCUGAACACCGACUUCAACCACGAACUGCGUCACGCUCGGGAGUGACGGGAACGGGUCGAACCAAGACUACGAAGGAGGGUUUUUCGACAACAACGAAGGCAUGCCCUCUCAUCAUAUUUAUCCCAGUUUUACAACAUGCAUGAUAUUUUAUGUUUUACAAAUAUAUGCUAUUUUAUUCCAGUAGCUAGCGUGUCGAUUGACACACCAACUUGAUCUGCUUGUCGCCUCUUACUUGAUACCCUGAGUAGUGAUUAUAUAUAAUUCUGAUAGAGUAGAAUGCUUAGCCAUGCUAAAUAAUCAUUAGGAAACUUCAUGUUGCCUCUCUGGAGGAAUUGAUCGACCUAUAGGUCAAAACACCCCUUUGAACAUUUGUUGAGCUCGUUGAGCUGGGCUAGUUAGCCAUUGUUGUUUCCUCUACUCUAUGCUACUCUGGGUGAAACUUACCAUCUAAACAUGGCGCGGGCGACAGCUGGAUCAGAUGUUGACGGAGCGGUUGGCUGCCCUUCAUUUGUUGGAGGGAACAAUCCGUCGUUCGUGCCGCAUAAGGAUCCUAACAAGUCUUGGAUUUGAAGAUUGUGACAACCGUACAACCACAUGCUAUAUGGGCACUGGCUUGGUUGAGUAUGUUAGUCAGCCUUAGGUGUCGAUGUCGCCGUACCGCUGAUGAGGUGUCUGCCUACGGGGGAACCUUCGGCACAGAUGGGGGGACCGGUUUGGGGACGUACUCUCAGUUCCGUGCGCCAUACCCGGUGGGCAUGUCACAUCUUUGGGGGAUCUAGCUAAAAGACCUCGUCACAAACUUCCUAUUGCUAUGCUAGCGACGGCUGGUUGCAACAAGGCGAGAUUGUGACAUGUGGUGAAAGUGUACCACCUCUGCAGAGCUAAACCUAUUCGAAUAGCCGUGUCCACGGUCAUGGACGACACAUGAAUCCUUCUUGACAUACAGUAACCUGUUUUGCUAUUUCCCUCUUUGCCUCCAUCCUUUCCUUGGAAUCUGAAUCCCAUGAUAUAUGUGAGUUGUCGUGGACAGUCACAUUGAUGAGAAAUAUUACACUGAAUAAAAAACAUGUUUUCGUCUAAAACUGCUUUUAUCAAAUCUAGUGUAUUAUUGCAAAUAAAAUUGGCUUUUCUGCAAAAGAACCAUAUAGCCUUUCUUUGAAGCCUCAUGUAGAUUUAGUAGGUUUGCACGAGGGGGCAUGUUGAGUACGAAAUGUACUCAUGGCAAAACUUUUGUUGAUAUUCAGAGUACUAUGAAGAUGGUGAAGACUAUGGCGACUACGACGACGCUGAGGAGUGAGGCCUCGGGGACUACAUCGACUGCCUGUGGCUGAGAUGGAGUUACUUCGCAUUUUAUUAUCCGCUGUGCUUUCUGGUUGUAAUAAAUGUCACAAGACAUUUCACUUUGUGGCUCAAACUUUGUAAUAAUUACUUUUUGCACGUUCUGCAAUGAUAUUCAUUUCGCUGUGUCGUCAAGCUAA